UACGUAGGGUGCGAGCGUUGUCCGGAAUUACUGGGCGUAAAGAGCUCGUAGGUGGUUUGUCGCGUCGUCUGUGAAAUUCCGGGGCUUAACUCCGGGCGUGCAGGCGAUACGGGCAUAACUUGAGUACUGUAGGGGAGACUGGAAUUCCUGGUGUAGCGGUGAAAUGCGCAGAUAUCAGGAGGAACACCGAUGGCGAAGGCAGGUCUCUGGGCAGUAACUGACGCUGAGGAGCGAAAGCAUGGGUAGCGAACAGGAUUAGAUACCCGGGUA
rnacentral:rRNA from 1 species